CGGACGUCCAAAGAAUUGUUAUGUAGCGUUUUUAGAACCAAUAAACAUGCACAGAGUGGAUCUAGCCGGCCUAAAGUGCAAUAAUAUGAUGACGUUUACAAGAUGAAUAAAUAACAUUGACUGACAACUGAAACCUUGAGAGAUCUUCGUUGACUGUAAAGUAUGUAAUUAGGAGAACUAAUGAACAGAACCAAGGCGUUCUCUGUGUCGACUUACCUUUGCCUCUCUGUAGUUCCUAUAUAGUUCUAUGGUUUCUUCAGACGUGAGAUAUUCCAAGCUCUUUGGAGGAGAUUUCACUUCUAAAGCGAGUCUAAAGAAAGGGGAGGGGUUUACAUCUGACUCAGUUGAUAGAAUUCACGUUCUGGCCUGUCGGAGCAAUGAUUCUGUCUGCAGCGUCCAAUGUCCCUGAAAAGGAGGCGGGACAUGGGCUGGUCUUAAUUUCCAAAGGAUAAAAAAAGUUACUGAAACUUGAAUAAUGACACGUGACGAGGAAGGCAGAAGGUUUGUCAGGUGACCCCCUCUAAUACCCAACGACGUCUGAAUUGGUUUCGUUAUUUUUUCUUUUAUGCACAGCAUUCCAGCAGUUAAUCAAGUUAGAACACAGUCAGCACAACUGAACACCACAGAUCAGCAGGUGUUUGCAAAGACUGCCAGGAUUGAGGUAUGGGCCAUGACUCCCAUGUUGAAAAAAAAAAUAUCUGAUGCAAUAUCAAAUAACAUGAUCGGAUAUAAAAAAAAUACUCCAGAGAGGAAGGGUCUGUCAGAAGUGAACCACUCUGUGAUAGAAUGCAUGGGCAAAUUGUGCAACAAUUUAAAAAUAACGUUUCUCAACGUAAAAUUGUAA
rnacentral:lncRNA from 1 species